AACGAACGCUGGCGGCGUGCCUAAUACAUGCAAGUCGAGCGAGAAAGCCUCUUCGGAGGUGAGUAAAGCGGCGCACGGGUGAGUAACACGUGGGCAACCUACCCUUGAGUCUGGGAUAACCCGGGGAAACUCGGGCUAAUACCAGAUACGGCUGCGGGGUCUUCGGAUCCUGUGGAGAAAGAUGGCCUCUUCUUGAAAGCUAUCUCUCGAGGAUGGGCCCGCGUCCUAUUAGCUAGNGGUGAGGUAACGGCUCACCAAGGCAAAGAUGGGUAGCUGGUCUGAGAGGAUGGCCAGCCACACUGGAACUGAGACACGGUCCAGACUCCUACGGGAGGCAGCAGUAGGGAAUUUU
rnacentral:rRNA from 1 species